GACGCGGUGACCGAGUUGUUAAGAUGAUGGAUUGCUAAUCCAUUGAGGUUUCCCGCAUGGGUUCGAAUCCCAUCUCCGUCG
rfam:Clonorchis sinensis DNA, scaffold: 826, strain: Henan.